CAAUAGCGUAUAUUAAAGUUGUUGCGGUUAAAAAGCUCGUAGUUGGAUUUCUGUUGAGGACGACCGGUCCGCCCUCUGGGUGAGCAUCUGGCUCGGCCUUGGCAUCUUCUUGGGGAACGUUUCUGCACUUGACUGUGUGGAGCGGUAUCCAGGACUUUUACUUUGAGGAAAUUAGAGUGUUUCAAGCAGGCGCACGCCUUGAAUACAUUAGCAUGGAAUAAUAAGAUAGGACCUCGGUUCUAUUUUGUUGGUUUCUAGAGCUGAGGUAAUGAUUAAUAGGGAUAGUUGGGGGCAUUCGUAUUUAACUGUCAGAGGUGAAAUUCUUGGAUUUGUUAGAGACGGACUACUGCGAAAGCAUUUGCCAAGGAUGUUUNCAUUGA
rnacentral:rRNA from 1 species